rnacentral:SRP_RNA from 1 species
GGAGGUUGGUGGUGGACGGUCCACUCGCCAACCGGGUCAGGUCCGGAAGGAAGCAGCCCUAACGAGCCCGGAACGGG